UCUGGCGGUAAUAGCGCGGUGGUCCCACCUGACCCCAUGCCGAACUCAGAAGUGAAACGCCGUAGUGCCGAUGGUA
rnacentral:rRNA from 1 species